rnacentral:rRNA from 1 species
UGGGGAAUAUUGCGCAAUGGGGGGAACCCUGACGCAGCCAUGCCGCGUGAAUGAAGAAGGCCUUAGGGUUGUAAAGUUCUUUCGGUAUUGAGGAAGGUUGAUGUGUUAAUAGCACAUCAAAUUGACGUUAAAUACAGAAGAAGCACCGGCUAACUCCGUGCCAGCAGCCGCGGUAAUACGGAGGGUGCGAGCGUUAAUCGGAAUAACUGGGCGUAAAGGGCACGCAGGCGGUUAUUUAAGUGAGGUGUGAAAGCCCCGGGCUUAACCUGGGAAUUGCAUUUCAGACUGGGUAACUAGAGUACUUUAGGGAGGGGUAGAAUUCCACAUGUAGCGGUGAAAUGCGUAGAGAUGUGGAGGAAUACCGAAGGCGAAGGCAGCCCCUUGGGAAUGUACUGACGCUCAUGUGCGAAAGCGUGGGGAGCAAACAGGAUUAGAUACCCUGGUAGUCCACGCUGUAAACGCUGUCGAUUUGGGGGUUGGGGUUUAACUCUGGCGCCCGUAGCUAACGUGAUAAAUCGACCGCCUGGGGAGUACGGCCGCAAGGUUA